rnacentral:rRNA from 1 species
UACGUAGGGUGCAAGCGUUUGUCCGGAAUUAUUGGGCGUAAAGAGCUUGUAGGCGGUUUGUCGCGUCUGCCGUGAAAAUCCGGGGCUCAACCCCGGACUUGCGGUGGGUACGGGCAGACUAGAGUGUGGUAGGGGAGACUGGAAUUCCUGGUGUAGCGGUGAAAUGCGCAGAUAUCAGGAGGAACACCGAUGGCGAAGGCAGGUCUCUGGGCCACUACUGACGCUGAGAAGCGAAAGCGUGGGGAGCGAACAGG